GAAAGACAUAGUCAAAUUCAUAAUAAAAAACAUGUAGAGAAGCAGAACGAUAAAACUAUUUUUGGUGGUUGAAUAGAUCUUCUUCUUGCUUUCUUGAUGAUUUCUUGCCUCGUCCUCUUGAGUUCCCCUUGAAAUUGGUCUUUGGGGUAGUAUUUAUAGUAUCUUGAAAUCUUGGAUGAAUUGGGGAUGAGUUAAGCUUUAAAAAGAGUUUUAAAAAAUUAAAACUUAUUUCUGCCCCGAUGGUACCCAACCUUGGUUUUGCAGCGCUUCAGCCGCCGCGAUCUCAAUUGAACAGGUAAUGUGGUGCCUAUGUUCUAUAAUUUUCUUCUGGGUUUGGAUGCGGGUGGAUCUGCAUUUGAUUAUCGAGAAUGGGCAUCGGGCAGCCUAGUCUAUGGUGCCUUGGCACCUAGUCAUGUUGCAUUUUUCUAUUGAGCCACGAUACCGCUUCUUCCUUUGAUUUCUUUGCCUUUUGUUUCUUCUUCUCCUUAACUUAUUUCAUUGCCUCAUCAAAAUCAUCUUUGGUUCAUUUUCAAGCUCCACAAUUCACCAUUUUCACCAAUCUACCUCACCUAUAAAACGUUAAAACACAUUAAAACUUUCUAAAUACUCAUAAUGAUAACCCAAUUAACAAGGUUAAAUGGCGUUAAAACUACGAGUGAAACACACACAUCAAACAGAUCCAAAAUUAAUACAUUGCUAGUGCUCG
rnacentral:lncRNA from 1 species